UUUUACCUUGAGCUGUGUCAAUCUGCUACUCCCCUCAUGUGAACUCCGGGGAGGUUAUUCUUACCAUAGAUUUCCCAAAGCCUUGGUGCAAAAUGUAUCCGAGCUGCGGAGACAAAGAAAUCAAAUAUUAAAAGGACAAAAAGGCUCUCCUCCAGGAACACACAAAAAAAAAUUUGUCAAUGAACUUCUCACUACUCCCAAACAAGGAAGUUUGAAAUUUCAUAAGUCACCUGAAGAAUGCUUUGAUGCUAUGGAAGUAUCAUUUGAAUAUUUAAAGCCUUCUUUGGAUGUUUCCUUGGGGACUAUUGAAGAGCAUGUAAUACCACAAUAAAACAUAAAUGUGUUAGUACAGACAGAUAUGUAUAAUGAACAGCUUCUUCAUUGGGGGAAGAAAAAGAAAAGACUUCUCAUGAAAAUAAAUAGACUUGGGAAAAAAAAAAUUAUUUCCCUUCAAAGAGUCAGUUUAACCAAAAA
rnacentral:lncRNA from 1 species